rnacentral:rRNA from 1 species
AGCAGCCGCGGUAAUUCCAGCUCCAAUAGCGUAUAUUAAAGUUGUUGCAGUUAAAAAGCUCGUAGUUGAAUUUCGGGGUUAGUAGGUUGGUCAUGCCUCUGGUAUGUACUGGUCUCACUGAUUCCUCCUUCCUGAUGAGCCGUAAUGCCAUUAAUUUGGUGUUGCGGGGAAUUUGGACUGUUAACUUUGAAAAAUUAGAGUGUUUAAAGCAAGCUAACGCUUGAAUACAUUAGCAUGGAAUAAUGAAAUAGGACGUUCGAUCCUAUUUUGUUGGUUUCUAGGAUUGACGUAAUGAUUAAUAGGGAUAGUUGGGGCAUUAGUAUUCAAUUGUCAGAGGUGAAAUUCUUGGAUUUAUUGAAGACUAACUACUGCGAAAGCAUUUGCCAAGGAUGUUUUCAUUAAUACAAGAACGAAAGUUAGGGGAUCGAAGACGAUCAGAUACCGUCGUAG